UUCGGACCCACGAGCUGGACGCUCGACCCCGUCCCUCAGCAGCGGGGGCCCCCAGCCCAGCAGAGGGCGCUCCAGCACCGGCUAACGGCGGGGAGCCGGUGCUCGGCCCUUCCCGCUCGCUGGGGCUGUGCGGGGCGGCCUGCUGCGGUCGGCGGGUGGGCGGCGGCCUUGCAGAGAGCUGGGAGUUUGCACUCUGGUAAAAGAUUGCCAUUGUUUUGCACUGCAGCCACUCACUGAUGUGGAUCAACUGUGCCAGUCACUCCACCACUGUAAAUACGGAACUGCUUUAUUCAGCUCCCUGAAGCUUAAUCAGCCUGCUUUUAAAACAGCUUGUGAGCCCCUUUGGUCUGAAGCUUCCUCCUACCAGGUUGCUUCAUUUCUCUGCGUCAGAGCACGUGCAUGUGGAAAUGGAGAUCAAAGAGCAUUGUUAAUUGACAGAAGAGGUGUUACAGAGAUUGUCAGUUACCUUUUGCUGCUGAUACCCAUCACCUCUAAUAGAAAUGUAAGAACCCAGAACUGGAAAGGACCAUCUGGAACCAUCUGUAAGCUGUUCCUAGCACUGUGGGCUACUAUAAAUUAGAUAUUUAAUCACAAACAGUGCAUAGAAAAUCUUCUCCGCAUGCCAUAGGCCAUAAAACAGUUUGCAUGUAACACAAUUAAGAAAGAUGAUGAUUAAUAAUGAACAUCUAGAACUCUAAUGUGCCAUAAAAAGAACACAGCAUCAAGCACCACCAGCUUCUGAGAACAGGAGAAUAUAAUUUUGGGAUAUAAUGAUUUUAAGAGAUAAAGUGUGGAUUUUGCAGUAAGAAGGCAAAAACAACAACAACAACAAAACAGCUUCUGUUACUGUGACCCGUGAGAUUUCUUCAUUACCUCAAACCUUGCAAUCCACUUAGCUUGGACUAUGUGAUGCAGAUUCGCCUCCCACUCACUUGCUGGAGAGGAGUUCAUGAUGGAAGUGUAUGUUCAUCUCAUUUUCAUUUUCCCCCAUUGAUAAUACCACAUUCUAAUCUGAGCAACAUACUCUGAGAUUCUAACACUCAGUUGUGAGUACUGCUGACUUACAUGCAAUUGAUUAGCUAGCUCUAUAACAAUGUAUACAGACCUCUGUGAAUAGGUCUCCUGUAAAAUGGCAUGCUAGUAUUUAAUUAUAUCAUCUGAAACAAACCGUUAACAAAUUGCUCUGAAGCCACAUAAAACAUUCAAGGAAUCGUUCCUUGUGAAUACAUUUUGACAGACACCAUGUAUCUCCUGUGCAGGACAAUUCAGUGUUAUGACAGUUGCUGAGAACAUUUUUACAGGAAAUGUAUCUUGAUUUUCAGUGUUACUAUGGUUUACUGAAUACCUACUAGGUGAAGAAUAGACCAUUUUUUUUCCCUUCUCCUCUAACUUUACAAAUAGCAAAUGCUAUGUAGUUUGAUCUUGUGAUGCUUUCCAGAGAGAUAUCUUUCUGUGGGCAUAAAGUCUCUGAAGAUCUACAGCAUCUAAUCCCAUAGGUCAUUUGACCUCUGGUGAUAAGCAUCCACCCAGGGCAAUGGUGUGGUCAGUGGAGAAUAUGAAGGCAGGGCAAGAGAAGGUGUCUUCAGUUUAGCAUGUCCAGCCUACACCCCCUACUCACCAGCUGUAGGUAACUUUCACCUACAUACAUCCACUGACUUUUCACCUACGUACAUCCACUGCUCUUCAGCCGUUGGGUAGGUUUGAAAAAACUACAGAUGUCUAUGCGGAACUGCAGCUUCUGGCUAAUUCUCAUGGUUUGAUUCUGUGUUACAAAGAUUUAGGGGCAUCUUUGCAGUGCACUGGUCUGCUGCCAAUGGCCUUGUAAGGAAAACAAGCAUAAUUUGAGGUUAUAUUAAAGCUAUAGAUGAAAAAGUGCAUCAAAAAUACUGUAGUUUUUUGAACUGGUCUGAAAGACAGCCUUUCUUUCUAUUCAUUCCAAGUAAGUCUUCCUUGUACAGUGUGACUGCUUAAUGUAAAAAGGAAAAGUAGUGGCUAAUGGACCUUUUUAUUGGAUGGCUUCAGGGUUUGAGGUUCUGUUAUCUUCUAGCACUAAGGCCAGGCUGAAUCUGAGGGGUUUCAGUUAGCCACAAUCAUAAAACAGAAUAUAAAACAACUGUGAAGAAGUGAAAGAAAAAAAAAAAAGAGCUUACCACAUCUUUUAGUUUUCCUUGAUUUUCAUGGGCUGAUCAAGAAAUAUGUGGCCUCUAUAAAUGGAAGGUAUAUAAAUUGAAAUCUCUGAUUUCAAGGAGUGCACAGAAAUGUUAAACCCUCACUAGACUUUUUAUAAGAGCUCCUAAGAGCUUUUUUCCCUAAAGUAUAGGAGAGAGCCAACAAUUUCUGCAUGCACUCAUUCAUACAAAAUACAUUUUAAUUACAUCUACAUUAAAUGAGAUUUAAAUAAUUUAUUUUUACUAAUUUAGAAACAGCUAUUAAAAUCCAAAUUGGACAAUUCAGUACUCAUUGAUAGACAGUUUUAAAUACCACUGUCAUGUACUAGCGUUUAUUCUGCCUGAACUUCAACAAAAUUUUUGUAAUUUAAUUUAAGAUUCUUUAGGAACUGUAAAGGGAAAAAAGAAAGUUGGUCAAGGUUCAAUGAGAUACUAAACAUUUUCAAGACAGAUUGAGUGUCCUCAAUUUUAUCUUAAACCAAAUAAAAGUUGGUGGUGCUUAGUAUCUAUCAGAAGUGCUCAGCACUUUGCAGGGUUAAAUCCCCCAAGAACAAGCAAACAAUAUGCUCUGAAUACUGACAUGCUUUUAGAAAACAGUUUAGUAAUGGUCACAGCCAUGACCUGGAGGAACUACUUCUCGUGAGGCUAGAGAUAAUUCAGCCUCUGUGUGACUUCAUGCUUAAGACUUUCCUGAUCAGAAAUGGCCAAGUGGUGUAAAUUAUGAGUUAUCAGUCUUAGGUCUCAAGAUAUAAAUUACUGUCUGGCAGGAAGCAAAAUCUAAAAACUGAUUUUAUUUAGGGGUAAACUUUCUUUACAUUAGUAAAAAGAUAAGUACUCCAUUUGCUAAGCUACUCUUCUCAGGCCACUUAUAGAUUCCAUUGAGAAGGUCUGGCAGGACUUUACAUUCCACAGUGCGCUAGGCUCACAACCAGUAAGGCAUGUUGACUGUAUAUGUAAGAACUUCUGUACUGUGUUGAUUGCAUGUUCCGUGGAAAAUGGACGCAUUUUAAAUUUCACUUUGAAUUGCACUUUUUUUUUUUUUUUGCCUAUAGUGUAAAAAAAAAACCCUAAAAAAACUAAGCAACUGUUAAAAUCCAUGCACUAAAAUUAGGCAUUAAGAACUCAUACUCAAAGUUAUUGAGAAUGUUUUGGGGCUUCUACAGCCACAAGUGAAACAGACUCAUGCAUAUCACUGACUGCACCAUCUUUUUCACACUGGUUGGGUUCUUUUAGCUCAGAAAUGAAGGAUGGCAAAUUCUAACCGUUGCACCUUUGCUGUGCAGAAGGGCUUUGGGAAGAGGGCCAUGCAAGUAGAACUAUGAUGGAAAGUUAGUUCAGUGGAUUACAACUGCUAAGUUAGAACUGGCCAAAGUAGAAAGACUGAAGAUAAUCAUUUGUAGAAAUUACCUUUGAGCUGGAAACCUUAAUGACUAAAACUGGCUAGAAAUUUUGUCUUGCUUCUCAUCCAAAUACAUUACCUCUAUAUCAGUAUUAAUCCUUUCAGCAGCUGACAUUCAAGUACAUACUGUCUUGCAAGAGAAAGAACCUAUUUUUCUCUGGCCUCCUCCAUUUGUGUUACAUUACCUUUCAUCUAAUGCUGACCCAUCCACAUCACUUUAGCAGGAUACAAUGCAGAAUGGUGGGGCUGCCAGAAGCCAAACUGCUACACUUUUCAUACCUUAGCUUAUAUGAUGAAGUCUUUUAGAAUCAGAACACUGCAGUGUAUAAUGAACUUGCAUUAUGUCAAGUGAAAGGGACAGCCAAGUGACAGAAGGUACUGGCUUAAUAUGAUGCUGCAUUAUAAUGUAGCUCUGGGGAAUAAAAUUUAGGAGAAAUUAUUUGGAUGAAAAAAGAUUGAUCAUAGGCAAGUUCGUGUUUUUUUUUCCUUGGGGUUUUUUGUUUGUUUGUUUGUUUUUGUUUUUCCCCAAGAAAAAGUGUUUAUUUGUCUAAAGUGAAGAUUAGUAGGGCAGUUUUGCUGAAUUUCUGUAUUGGAAAACAAAACCAGGAAAAAUCCUGGCAGUUUCUGCCUUGGUAAAAGUGGCAGUCAUUUGGAAAUGAGGUUUAAGACACAUUUCAAAUGACAUUCACAAAUAAUACUGGUAUAAACAUUUAGAAAAAAUAAAAAUGGCUGAAAUAGAGAAUGCCAAAA